ACGUGACGCAGCUGUGACUGAGCUAACGUUUUUAACGGCAAACCGCCAUGCAAUUUAAAGAAGUGUAAUAAAAUACACAGAGGUGAAGUCACGUGUCUUUCCAGAUGCCCAAAUCAGUACCCCUCAAAAAAACUUUAUCAAAUGCCAUGAUGGAUACAGUAAGAUGAGCCUGAAGAGGGGAUUUGGGAAGAUGCUGUUUCAUAAUUAUUUGCUUUGCCAGACCACCUGUGGAGCCCUGUUGAAAUAUUUUGGAGGUAGGGUACAUCUGCCCCAAGCGCCAGUGCUACCACUGAUGAUAAUGCUGCAGCAGGUCCAUCCUCUGCAGGUGAUGAGCACUUACCAGCACUUGAAUCAACUCAUCCUACUGUUCUUUCCGUGUCUGUUUUAACCUCAGCAGAUGUGGCAGGUCAUUUUACUUCUGUGGUCAUUGGAUUUGAUGUAACACUUACUCCAAAUGCAACUUCCAGCCUACACCAUGGAUCAGCAACUUCUCCAGUUGAUCCAGCUAAGCUACCUUUUUUUUACUACAUUGCAUUAAGUGUGCCACAGCAUCUGAGCACUCUUGUGGGUUUGCUUCUUUAGAAAUUAAAAACGGUAGAAGGGUAAAACGACA